rnacentral:rRNA from 1 species
UACGGAGGGGGCAAGCGUUGUUCGGAAUUACUGGGCGUAAAGGGCGCGCAGGCGGCUGCUCAAGUCAGGCGUGAAAGGCCUGGGCUCAACCCGGGAAUUGCGCUUGAGACUGGGCUGGCUUGAGUGCGGGAGAGGAUGGUGGAAUUCCCAGUGUAGAGGUGAAAUUCGUAGAUAUUGGGAAGAACACCGGUGGCGAAGGCGGCCAUCUGGACCGCAACUGACGCUGAGGCGCGAAAGCGUGGGAGCAAACAGG